UGUUUAUUUAUUCUUUAAAGUGAAAAGAAAAACCUACGAGUCUACGACUAAGAACUUGGAACGCGUGUCUUCCUCUCUCUAGCCUUUCCCUAUUCUCUCCUGGGGUUUCAAUGUCGCCGCUUAUGGGAGUUUCCUCUAUCAUUCGAUCGGUGAUUACGGUCGAUUUGCAGAAAUCCAAAUUGCGGAAAUUAAAACAAUCGAAAUCAAGACGAACUUCUUCAUUAUUCGUUAUGAAUUAGCUCCCAACUUCUCCUAUCUUCGCCGGCCUCCGUCCCGCAGCCCGCUGCCUAUUUCAAGCACAAAUUAUGCUUCUAAUUACUACUAAAGUGGAGUACCUACUACUUAUUUUCAAGCAAAUGAUUGACAAGUUAAGGGACUUAUGGGUUACCUAUGUGUCCGAGCAUAAAGAACUAGAUGAAGAGUCUCCUAAUGGUAUGGAUUAUGAAGAUGAUAUAUGGUGUAGGUGAUUUAUGACUUCUUUUUAAUUUUCUACAUUUGUAGUUCUUUAAGAAGGAGAUUAUAGGACGAAACAUUAAGUACUUUUAGAAGUUAAUAUUUUGUAAUAUCUUUUUGGGAUUAAUGAAAUAUUUGGAUUAUUUUGGUAUUAUAAGUAUGUUACACUUUUGUAUAA